rnacentral:rRNA from 1 species
UGAAUACGAGAUGCUACGGCGUCGAAGCAGUCUAUGUCAUACUUCCAAGAAAAGCUUGCACUGUCAUAAACAAAUAAUGCCUGUACCAUAACCGACACAGGUGGGUAGGUAGAGUAUACUAAGGGGCGCGAGAUAACUCUCUCUAAGGAACUCGGCAAAAUGACUCCGUAACUUCGGGAGAAGGAGUGCCUUAUUUUAUAAGGUUGCAAUAACAAGAUCCAAGCAACUGUUUACCAAAAACACAGGUCUCCGCUAAGUCGUAAGACGAUGUAUGGGGGCUGACGCCUGCCCAGUGCCAGAAGGUUAAAGAAGUUGGUUAGCAUCCGCGAAGCUGAUAACUGAAGCCCUGGUGAACGGCGGCCGUAACGAUAACGGUCCUAAGGUAGCGAAAUUCCUUGUCGGGUAAGUUCCGACCCGCACGAAAGGCGUAAUGAUUUGGAUACUGUCUCAGAGAGGGGCUCGGUGAAAUAGACUUGUCUGUGAAGAUGCGGACUACCUGCACCAGGACAGAAAGACCCUAUGAAGCUUUACUGUAACUUGAAAUUGAAAUUGGACUUUACUUGCGCAGUAUAGGUGGGAGGCGUUGAUAAUAUUCUUGCGGGAAUGUUGGAGCCAUCAGUGAGAUACCACUCUUGUAAUGUUAGAUUUCUAACUUUGUAUCAUUAUCUGGUCAAAGGACAGUUUCAGGCGGGCAGUUUGACUGGGGCGGUCGCCUCCCAAACGGUAACGGAGGCGCACAAAGGUUUCCUCUGAACGGGUAGAAAUCGUAUCUAGAGUGUAAAGGCAUAAGGAAGCUUGACUGUGAGACCUACAAGUCGAGCAGGGACGAAAGUCGGUCUUAGUGAUCUGACGGUGCUGAGUGGAAAGGCCGUCACUCAACGGAUAAAAGUUACUCUAGGAUAACAGGCUGAUCUCCCCCAAGAGUUCACAUCGACGGGGAGGUUUGGCACCUCGAUGUCGGCUCAUCGCAUCCUGGGGCGGUAGUACGUCCCAAGGGUUGGGCUGUUCGCCCAUGAAAGCGGUACGCGAGCUGGGUUCAGAACGUCGUGAGACAGUUCGGUCCAUAUCCGGUGUAGGCGUUAGAAUAUUGAGAGGAGCCUUCUUUAGUACGAGAGGACCGAGAAGGACAUACCUCUGGUGUACCAGUUAUCGUGCCAACGGUAAACGCUGGGUAGCUAUGUAUGGAGUGGAUAACCGCUGAAAGCAUCUAAGUGGGAAGCCCACCUCAAGAUAAG